rnacentral:rRNA from 1 species
UUCUGGCUCAGGAUGAACGCUAGCGUACAAGGCUUAACACAUGCAAGUCGAGGGGUAGCAGGAUCUAGCAAUAGAUUGGCUGACGACCGGCGCACGGGUGAGUAACACGUAUCCGAACCUUCCGUUUACUCGGGGAUAGACCUUUCGAAGAAAGAUUAAUACCGAUAGUAUGCUUUUCCCGCAUGGGAGAAUCAUUAAAGUUUUUCGGUAAUCGAUGGGGAUGCGUUCCAUUAGGCAGUUGGUGAGGUAACGGCUCACCAAACCUUCGAUGGAUAGGGGUUCUGAGAGGAAGGUCCCCCACAUUGGAACUGAGACACGGUCCAAACUCCUACGGGAGGCAGCAGUGAGGAAUAUUGGUCAAUGGACGAGAGUCUGAACCAGCCAAGUAAGCGUGAAGGAUGACUGCCCUAUGGGUUGUAAACUUCGUUUUAUAUGGGAAUAAAGGAGCCUACGUGUAGGUUUUUGUAUGUACCAUACGAAUAAGGAUCGGCUAACUCCGUGCCAGCCGCGGC